rnacentral:rRNA from 1 species
AACGAACGCUGGCGGCAUGCCUAACACAUGCAAGUCGAACGAGACCUUCGGGUCUAGUGGCGCACGGGUGCGUAACGCGUGGGAACCUGCCCUUAGGUUCGGAAUAACUCCCCGAAAGGGGUGCUAAUACCGGAUAAUGUCUUCGGACCAAAGAUUUAUCGCCUUUGGAUGGGCCCGCGUUGGAUUAGCUAGUUGGUAGGGUAAAAGCCUACCAAGGCGACGAUCCGUAGCUGGUCUGAGAGGAUGAUCAGCCACACUGGGACUGAGACACGGCCCAGACUGCUAAGGGAGGCAGCAGGGGGGAAUUUUGGACAAUGGGGGCAACCCUGAUCCAGCAAUGCCGCGUGUGUGAAGAAGGCCUUCGGGUUGUAAAGCACUUUGGUCCGGAAAGAAAUCGCGCUGGUUAAUACCUGGCGGGGAUGACGGUACCGGAAGAAUAAGCACCGGCUAACUACGUG